rfam:Capsicum annuum cultivar Zunla-1 chromosome 10, whole genome shotgun sequence
GAAAGCCCUAUGAUGGGAAACUACCAUGUUAGGUUUGGAGAGAGAUGGGACCGGUUAUAUAAUAGGGGAAGCAAAUGCAAGAUUUUUCUUUCAAUAGCCGGCCAAAUGACUACAGGAUCAUCGGUCUACUCUAU